GUACAGUGAAAGUGAAUAAUGCAUUAAGAAAACUUUAAAUUUACGCGUCGUUAAUCUUGAACCCAUUUGUUAGUUAGCUCUAUGCUUGGUAAAACAAGCGCCUGAUGUUUUUACUCGGCAUGUUUAUUCUUUUUUUGGAAAACAAAAAAAGAGCUGCGGUUUCUUAAUUCGUUUACUUCUUUCUUCCCCCCAUAUCCGUCGUCAUUAGCAUCAGUUCGCAGUUUUGGAAUUAAAAAUCUAAAUUAUUAGCAAAAGGAAGGAAAAAAAAAACACUUUACAAAAAUGCCAAGGGUCUUCCCCACAGGGAUCUCCGGAAAACCCAGUAACCAUCCAGGAGGAAAGUUCAUAAAUAACGAUGUCGAGUACAGUUCAUUCGCAGAACAUUUAAAUCACGAAAUAACAUCAUACGAGAUGACCAUUACUUUUGAACUUGGAUAGCCAGUAAACCGGAAUGUCAAAGUCUUCAAACGAACUCAAAUGCGCCUUCAAAAUCGCAUCAUCACCAUCAGCAUCAUCAUAAUAAUAAACAGUGCUAACAAAGUCACAAUUAAACUGCAGUAUCAACAUUACAAUUCAAUGGCGAAUUCAGGCCUGCCACAUGAAGGUACACCUUGCUAAACGUGUUACCCCCUUACCUGCAUUCCUUAGUUUCUUGUUCUUGUACACGGAGAAUAUAACCAAAAGGUUUCCCAAAAUAUCAACCACGAUUGUAAAGAUCAGAAAGCUGCCCAAAGUCGUAGCGACCCAGGGGGGGCGAUUCAAAGUUAGCUCCCGGGGGACCAGUGAAGUGGUGUUCAGAUAGCUCCCAUUUAUUCUCAUUUUACCUUGUCUACUUUACUUUCUCAAUCAGCAAAAGAAAUCAUGUGUCCCGCGUGUCUUCUAAGAUGUGAAAUCAAAGCUGAGGCGUUGUUCUGCAAUGACCUGUUCCUGUCGCCAUGGUGUAACUUAAAUCCUCGGCUUGCCAGCUAACUUUUUUUUGGGGGGGGGUUUCAAGUGCACAUGUUGUCGGAGACUACACUGUUACAGCUUUGUGUCUGCCCAUCACACUGUUGGUAUGUGACAUCCAGCGCUAUCCUCUCGGCUUUCUUCGAUUUGUGAUAGAAGUGGAGCUGCCUAGCACCGGGGAAGCGCUGCCCCCUUGUGGACACAGUCGGCAGAUGCCGGAGCGGAACCCUAUCCACGUCUAUGAAUUCCUCCAGCUACUGUAGUUCACUCUUCUCCACGCCCAAACCACAGAUCAGUAGUGAUUCGGGUGCUCGUCCAGUAUUACUUCACAGUCGCGCACGCUUUAUUCAUUCGGGUAUUGGUUAAUUCAUUCGUCUGUGGCAGGAAAAGAGGAAAGACAUGGAGAAAGUACAUGGAGAAAAAAUACCAGCUGUAAUCUACUGUAUAAAGAAAAACAAUCGAUUUCUUUUAGGCUAUUGGAAAGCGAAUAACUGAACAAAACGAACUGCAAACACCUCGUGUUUAUUGUUAUUAGCAGUAAAUAUAAAGACAAAGAGAUGUGUCAAAAUUGCCCCGGGUUGUAAAUCAUAAUUAAAUAGCUAUGCAUUGAAUUUAACACGUAAAAAAAUGUGAAGCCUGAAGUGCACGACUUCCAUGAAUGGGUGGUGGGAAAUUUUAAUUCUUUCUAAGGAGACAUAAUCUCAGCGUCACAGUCAGCGAUUGCCACUAAGAACAAUAAUGAGGAAAAAGGUAUCGGCAGUAAACCUGAAAGACUUGCGCAACCUGGGCUGGUUCCGUGCGAAACACAUCUGCCCCACAGUUCCUCUUCCAAACCUGAAACCUAACAUUACAAUACGGUACGCGGACUGCACGACUGGCUUCCAGUAAAGAGCGAGUGUACAGGAUGUCCGAUUUCCAGAUAGAGAGCAAAGGGAAGAGAAAACAGUUUACAAGGCGACGUCGCGCUUCAGAUGAGCUCCAGCAGGUCCGCCGAGUCCCAGUGUCCCUCCUGGGUGAUGAAAACCGAGCUGACUCUUUGAAGACCCGAGGACAAUCGCAGCGGGCCAGUCUGACAGGCAACUAGAAACUAGAGGAAAAUGUGCCUUAACGCGCCUGGCAGAGGGCUGAGCUCCUGGCCUCCGGACGAGGGGACCGAGACGCGUAGUCGAGGAGGAGCAGGGAUCCAGGAGACAGGUGAAGGUGAUAACUGGAUGACGUUUAGUAACUUUUUUUAAAUGUGAAGAAAUGACGUCAGGGGCGAUUGCGAACGACUGACGGCUGGGUCUGAUUGAACGUGGCCAUUUUCUCUCCUCCCGAACUUUCCCCUAUAAACUCCAUUUUCGCGGUGGCGGGCAUAAAAUGUCAGGACGAGCACAAAGGGCACAAGGUUAAUCAGUUAGUUAGUGAACUGGAAACUACAGGAGGUGAGGGAGUAAGUCAUCCAUCACGUAUAGACGAAAACGUCAGCCCCUAACUAAUUAACUUACGUUAACAGACAGGGAGGAUCUCCAGUGCCCAGGCUUGUGCUUGGAUACUGGCCCACUGCCUCGGCUUGUGGGAAGCGAGUUCAGGCUGCCCCGGCCUCUCCUACUCACUGGGUCAGAGAUUCUGUGUACUGCCUCUUCUCAGACUGGAGGAAGUGAGACCUCUGUUCUUAGUGGCUCGAGUGAUAAAUAACAGGUCUUCCUCUUAGAAUCUCUUACUCUUCCCUUGGCAGCCUGAUGCCUCCAAACCAUUCCUUAUAGAAAGUAUCACUGCACCUCUUCCUUGACAGAUUCCAGGGGACCCAAGGCACUGCCCCUCUUUCCUGUCUCUUCUCUGUCCUCUCUGUGUUUCUGUGCCCUGUACACACUUUCCCAAGCAAGUGUGAGGAUGCAGGUGGGUGUCCACGAAGGACAGUGUAUGUAGGCUCCCGAAUGUCAGCUGUGUAUUUGUUAUUGUGUGAAAACAAUAAAAGGUUGGAAAGAAUCAGUGGGGUUAAUCUAUACAUUUUAUAGUGUAAUUAACGUUUAACUGUGUUAUGUUUGUUCAGCAAAUAACAUACAUUUGUAAAAACAGCUGCAUCAUUGUACCUUAUGACACUUUUUUAUUUUCCCUUUCAGACACCAAGGAUAAGACAGCUAAAGAGACACUAACUGAGUAAAAACAACAGUAAUAGAAACACUUCUUCUUUCCCUGAGCCUCUUGUCAUUAAAUAAAGCUUCUACACUCCUGCCUGCUCUGGAGGCAUUGCUGACUCAUUUGGCAACAGUGUACAAAUAUGUUUAUUGGCUUAUGUUUGAUGUUUUUAUGACACACACAAUCUUCACCAGAGGAGGCAAUACCAUUUUUAAUCAAUUGGGAUUUUGGUUUCUCCUUUUCUGCAAGGGAGAGAUUGUCCACAUGAAGAAUUUUAAUAACAGCAGGUAUUUCCUUCACGCGGUGUUCAGCACAGUCCCUUGGCAUAUAAACCAUGAAGCAAACCCCAUUUCCUUUUGGGAGAACAGCUGUAUCGAUAAUGUUCUUUCCGGGCUUGUUUGAAGGAUGGGUUAGCUGUUCCAUAUACCUACCCUACAAGCCUAACAUACAGUAAACCACAGUUUCAUUACCCCACAGGUUUCACCUUUUUAUUCAUGGUCUUUCUGCACGUUCUCUCUGCAAAGCUCCUGCAAUCACCAAGCUCUCUGAUCCCGGUGUGCCCCUCUCCUCUGUGAUCGUUACUGCAUGCCUGGCUUCAGUGUCUGGCUGCUGAUUGGAUAGUGGCUCUGCUUCACCUGCUCGACAGCCCACCUGGGGCACAGACUGUUAUGUUAUCAGGCUGACAGUGUAAUGUCUUGGUUAGGCUAUCAUCUGAUGGGAGAUUUAUGCUGUUAACAUUACUCAUAUUAAUAUAAGAUUUCAGCAGCCCCAAGAGUCAAAUCCUAUUAUGUGUUUGUAAAAAAAAAACAACCCACAGUAAUAUAAACACUUCUUCUUUCCCUAGGCUACCAAGUUAUUUUUCUUUAAAUGAAACUGCAGCUCUCCUGCCUGCUUCUGGAGACGGGUACAAGUUAAUAGGGCCACACUGAAUAUUCUUCACAGGAUUGCUGCCUUCACAAAAAUGAAGGAAAGAUUAAAAAAAUGUUAACCGUGUACUUUAUUUGUUGCAAUGCAUUCAUUUAUGUGCAAAGGAAGUAGACAACUUCAGAACUCUGCAGUCAGGCUCAAGUUUACUGAUGUGGGAAACCAGACAAAAGUUCACAGAAGUACUGUACUGUAUGUAUCUCAUAUUACAUUAACAAACAUCUUACUUGGAACUUAAGAAUUGUUUUAAUGUGCUAUAGCUUAUGUAAGCAUGUUCUGUGAAAUGACACUUGACACUUUUUCUUGUAUAAAAAUAAAUUUUAUUUUAUGCAAUAAAAUGUAUCAUGUUGUAUCAGGUGUUUUCUGACUUAUAGAUAUUUAAAGUAAUAUUUAAAUUAAAGUAAUUUCCAAAGCUAUUGUGAUUUGAUUAUAAGGAGACUUGAAAACAGUGCAUUAUCAUGUCAUUUCAAAUCCGUACAGAAAGCUUAUUUAAAUUUUCAAUAAAAAAAUGAUCUUGCUAUAGCUAUUUUGUAACCUUCUUUUUUAUGCUAUCAUUUGGCUUAUGAUCUAAGUCAUCUAGCAGAGCCCAGCAGGGAGAUCCGACCUCAGUUAACAGGUUUUGAGUUCUCCUGGAAGUUCAGUGCUUAGCCUCUGAAAGUUCAUGUCUCUGUAGGUUUCAAACAUACAGUGUAGCUGUUCUCUCUUUGUUUCCUAUUCAAGGGUCAUUAAAAGCCAUUUUACCACACAGUCUGAUCUCGUCUCAGUAGCCAAGCAGAGCUGGGCCUGGUCAGUACUGGUAUAGAUGGGAGGCCUCCUUCCUGUAUCUUACUCUGUUCCAUUUGCUUAUAAGCUCAUAAGCUCUGUCUGCUCUUAAGGAACUGUGAGUCAAGGCCUGCUGUAUACUACUGUACAGUAUGUGUCCAGGGUACCUCAGAGAUUACAGUAUUGCGCCAACGUCACUCUAAGCAGUUAUGGUGCACUUAAAGAUUUUAUCCUCUAGGUCUACUAUCUUUUUUCUAUGCAUUUCAGUUAUUAUUAGUGGUGUUCUAUUCAGAAGCACAGGCUGCACGUUCCACAUCAUUCUAAUGACAUAACAUUAUAAUAAAAUCGCAUUAAAUGAGCUCUUCACUAAUUGCCGUUGGUGAUCAACAUACUGUACUUGUGUACUUAGGUCGUACCGUCUCCAGCUUUUAAUGAAUUCACAUGCAUUAUCAGAGGGAGAUUCCGUGUCGUGAUCUUUAGGAGGAUACAUCGUUGAGAUAACAACUUAUACCAUUCGUUGAAUUUCAAAUGUAAGGUUAAUGUAUAAUAAGAAAGUCAAGCGGUGAGGUAAUGGGAUAAUAUGCUGUACAGUUAACAGGGAUAAAGAAGAGAGAAGAAAGCAGCUGUUUAACUGCCGCAAUGAUAAACCAAGAUACAGAGCUGUAGGCUUGACUUAACCAAUGAGACUACAACAGAUGUUCAACUGCCAAUAUUUUUAGCAACACCUCCAAGAACGUAGUAUCUGAAGUCACUUCAUGAUAGAACGAGACCUUAUUUUCAGACCAGUUUCCUGCCUCGUUACAUAAAUUAGACAGGGCUUGAGAAAUAUCCACAAUGGCAAUUUUCCUGGAUCCAUUAAAAAUAAAUAAAUAGGAUAACUACGGCUCUUCAGCAGGAAACACUUAGGAUGCAAUUAAAAUAUUGCUUUUUUAAUAGCUGACAUUAGACACCAAGAUCUUCACCCCAGUUCUCCUUGCAGCCAUGUGUUUUAGUUUUACUAAGUGCUUAUUUUACUGUUAUCUGGUCCAGCAAGUGUGAAGAUUUGCUUUUUUCGAUUACUUUUUUUCCUCAUCAUGAUCAUUAUCAUUUCACCGGGUCUAUCGCCAUAACUACGAUGACAGAACAAUGCUCACGCAAUUCCAAGCGACUGGCCUCCAGAAAUGUACGAACCGCCAGUUUUUCACAUCAUACAUCCAUCCUUCUCCACCAGCCUUGUCUUCCUACUUCUCCUCCUCACAAGCACACAAACAGCAUAAUGAAUCCACCGCAUGCUGACGCAGCUCCCUGCUUGAACUCUUUCUAGAACUCCUUUCUACCGACAACGAGCUGAAACAACGUUUGAAGAACGUUAUUACAUGGCUGAACAGAUGCAUA